ensembl:lncRNA
ACUGAACAUGCAGUUCUGGGUGGGCUGACUCUACCCUCUGGGGCAGGUGGGCACUUAGCCUGGCUAAUUAGACCCUUUGAUUUGGCCACUGUGAUUGCUUCUGGGGCAGAGAUCCAAACUGAACCAGCACUGGGGAGGAGCUGUUGCCAGGACAGCUGGAGGGGGAGAGAGGAUGUGACACAAGCCCAGGGCAGGCAACCAGCAGCUGCCCGAGAAUGUCGGCAACAUGGGGGAAGGCGAUGCCAAGAGACGGAGAGAGCCAGCCUGCGUGCUCAGGAUGGUUCUGGAUCCAGCCCAGCCUGAAGCAAGUCUACCCCUGGGACUCCUGAAUAAAUUCUCUCUCCCUCUUGCUCAAGCCAGUGGGAGUGGUGCUUUGUCAUUUUCUACCAAGAGUUUCACCUAAAUACCUAAUGAAAAUGACGCUUGUUUGCUUCUCUGCUCUCCGGUCCUUUGCAUUUCCAUAUGAAUUUUGGAAUCAGCUUGUCAAUGUCUACAAUAAAGCUUGCUGGAAAUAUCCACACACUCAGGUAUGGGGACCACGUCACAAGAUUUUAUCUUCUUUAACCUGACUCCACGCUUCCAUCCCAAUGACUGCAAGAGAGAUGCCCUCAAAAGCCCUUGAUUUUCAACCCAGACCUUCCUGAAGACUAGAAAGCAUGAAGAAACAUCUACCUGGUUGGUACGAAUGGAAGAAAAAUUACUGUUUGAACAGAAUACAAAUAUCUCAGUAAUUUUCCUACCACGAGGCUUCCCAAUAAUGAACUCACCGUUGUUGUUUGUCAACCAGACAAGGCUCUGUGGCUGUUUGGAGUGUAUUUACUGCUCUCUGGCAAAUAUUAACAUGGAAUGCCCCAGGUGAGAAGGUGGUUCUCUUUUUAAUUGAGACCCUUCUGACUAGGUCCUGGAGAAAAUCUCAGCUUGGUGCUAAUCAGUCUUCAACACCUUUCUAAUACUGGCUAGAUUCCCUUUAAGUAGCAAGCCAACCUCAGGCUUUGAUCUUCUGUCAGGCAUGCCAGUGGUAAAUGGCUAAACUUUAACAACCUCAUUCUGUUGGGCUAUGCGCUCAGAUGCUCAGUCGCCUCUAACUCUUUGCGACCCCACAGCCUGAAGCCCACCAGGCUCCUCUGUCUAUGGGAUUCUCUUGGCAAGAAUAGGGGAAAAAAAAAAAAAAAAAGAAUAGGGGAGUGCCAUUUCCUCCUCCAGGGGAUCUUUCCAACUCAGGGAUCAGAGCUGUGUCUCCGUCUCCUGCAUUGGUUGGCGGAUUCUUUACCACUAGCACCACAUAUUGCCACCUGUAUUUUCACCACUGAUUAAAGAAAGUGAUACUGCCUUUCUCUUUCUAGUAGUGAUGUGAAAUGUCCUAUUUAUUGAUUUAUCAAUUUUUAUAUUUUAUUAGAUGAUGUGAUUUUAUUUAUUUAAUUUUUGAAAUUGAAGUAUAGUUGAUUUAUAAUAUCAUAUUAAUGUCAGAUGUACAACAUGAUGAUUCAGUAAUUUUACAGAGUAUAUUCCAUUAUAAAUUAUUCCAAGAGAAUGGCUGUAAUUCCCUGUGCUAUAGUGACACUAUAGAUCGUAUAGUGUUUGUCUUUGUCUGACUUAUUUCACUUAGCAUAAUACCCUUCAUGUUUACUCACAUUGUUGCAAAUAGUAGAAUUUCAUUUUUUAUGGCUGAGUUAAAAUUUCCUUUUAUUUAUUUAUUUUUCUUUUGGACCAUGCCAG